GUUUUUAUAGUUUAACCUAAAACAUUAGUCUUGUAAACUAAAAAUAAGAUUCCUUUAAAAACU
rnacentral:tRNA from 1 species